AAUAUUUCACAAUGGGCGAAAGCCUGAUGCAGCGACGCCGCGUGGGGGAUGACGGCAUUCGGGUUGUAAACCCCUUUCAGUAGAGAAGAAGCGAGAGUGCCGGUACCUGGUGAAGAAGCGCCGGCCAAAUACGUGCCAGCAGCCGCGGUAAUACGUAGGGCGCAAGCGUUGUCCGGAAUUAUUGGGCGUAAAGAGCUUGUAGGUGGCUUGUCGCGUCUGCCGUGAAAACCCGAGGCUCAACCUCGGGCGUGCGGUGGGUACGGGCAGGCUAGAGUGUGGUAGGGGAGACUGGAACUCCUGGUGUAGCGGUGAAAUGCGCAGAUAUCAGGAAGAACACCGAUGGCGAAGGCAGGUCUCUGGGCCAUUACUGACACUGAGAAGCGAAAGCAUGGGUAGCGAACA
rnacentral:rRNA from 1 species